rnacentral:lncRNA from 1 species
CGCGUGUUUUCUGCCACAUGUAGGCAGUCCUCUACCUCCCUUCCACAAGAAUUCCAAGGGAGAACUUUGAGAGUCGAAAGCCAUGCAUUCAGAAGAGGAGAGCACUGAGCAGUUCCAGAUGUGGAAUCACACUGGAGACCCACAUGGACAAGGUACAGGCAUAUCACUCCAUGGGAAGCAGCCCCCACCAGAACAUAUCCUGGAAAUGGCCAAGAUUAUAGUCAAACCUGUCCUGAAAAAGCUUUCUCACUGCUUGAUCCAGCAUGAACUUUGGAACUGCUGCCUAUGUAUCCAGCUCUGGAAAGUCCCCUACAACACCACCGUCUGGGAGGAAUUUGGGCCUUUCCAUUGGGACCAAAUAUAUCUUCUGCCACAGUCAACAAAAUAUUGCUGUUGACGAGUUUCCUAGAAUCAUACUCUUUUUUUUUUAUGAGGCAAUCUGGGGUUAAGUGACUUGCCCAGGGUCACACAGCUAGUAAGUGUCAAGUGUCUAAGGUCAGAUUUGAACUCAGGUUCUCCUGACGCCAAGGCUGGAGCUCUAUCCACUACGCCACCUAGCUGCCCCAAGAAUCACACUCUUUUAAAAGGAGUCAUUUUGCUUUUAGAAAAUGCUUAUUAAUGCCCAUUAGCAUCCCCUGUCAUUCAACUGACACCAGGAACUAAGAAGCCAAUAAUCUCAGAACAGGAAAAGAAUCAGAUUAUGUCGUUCAGCCCUAUGCAUGACCAGUGAAUGUUGAAAUCACCCAACGAGAGGGAAUUAUUUAUUCUCUUCUCAAAAAUGUCCACAGCAUCUAUCCAUUGCUCAUUCAAGUGUUUUACCUACAUGUGGUCGUGGAGAAUUCCCAUUACAACCUGAAAUUUCCCUGCCUCAGGGAGUUGACAACUCAAUGGUUGCUGUCCCAGUGGGAUAUUGUUGGAGGGAAAGCUGGGAAGGCUAUUUUAGGAGACUGUAAGAUCCUUGAGGGGAGGAAUGUUAGUUCCUUUUUUCCCAUGUUAGUCCCUUGCACAUAGUAAGCACUUUAAAAAUAUUUGUUUUCUGUCGUGAAAUUGGUGAAAAGGGGAAAUAAUCCACUGAAUCCAUAGGAUUUAGAGCUAGAAGAAAUGGUACAGGCCAUGUAGUCAUGGGACCAUAGUUCUAAAGCUGAGAAAACUGAAACAAACAAACUGGGAGGUCUUCUAGUUAUGGGAGCAUGUAUCUAGAGCAGGAAGGGACCACAUAGACCAUCUAGUCCAAACUCUCAUUUUACAGAGAAGGAAACUGAGGUCCGAGGUGAUGAGGUGACUUUCCCAAGGUUAUAUAUAGGAGCUAGAAGAAACACUAGAGGAUAUCUAGUCCAACCUGCUCAUUUUAUAGACGAUGAAACUGAGACCCAGAGAAGUGAUGUGAGUUGCUCAAGGUCAUAGAGGUAAAUAAAUAGUAAAGCUGGGAUUUAAAGCUUGGACA